rnacentral:rRNA from 1 species
CCCCUAGAUGUUCUGGGCCGCACGCGCGCUACACUGAACAGUUCAACAAGUCUUAACCUUGGCCGAUAGGUCUGGGUAAUCUUUGAACGUGAAUCGUGAUGGGGAUAGAUGAUUGCAAUUAUUCAUCUUCAACGAGGAAUUCCUAGUAAACGCAAGUCAUCAGCUUGCAUUGAUUACGUCCCUGCCCUUUGUACACACCGCCCGUCGCACCUACCGAUUGAAUGGUCCGGUGAAAUCUUCGGAUCUGAGAGAUGUCUGAUUAAUUUCGGACGCCUUUUGGAAAAGUUGCUUAAACCUUACCAUUUAGAGGAAGGUGAANUCGUANCA